rnacentral:lncRNA from 1 species
GUUGUUCAAAUUCUGACCGAGCUUCCAAAACCACCAAGCUCAAAACAAGGAGACUUAACAAUCAUAGAAUCCUCUUUGUCAUUAUCAAACAGUUUAGAGUCUCCAACCACGGCAUCAAAGGAACCCAAAGAUCAACAUCAUCCUCAAUUGCCACCAACCGAUCUACUUAGCAUUUGAAUUUUGAAGUGCUCAGUUGGGGACA